GUUGGUGAACAAUUCGCGAAGUUCUAUUGUACUUGUACCUAUUGAUAUUUUCCUGUGCUACUUUUUUCCUACCUACUUUGUUAGAAUUUGUAACUUACAAGUUCAGGCCCUACUUCCCCGUUUUUGCGUGGAUAUUCAACUGGUAAAACUUCCAGAACCAUUAUGUGUUUUGGAUAAAGCCGAAAUGAUAAAAAGUUUGUGGAUAAUGUUCGUUGAUAAAUUGCAAUUCCGAGAGUUGGAAGCAAUGUGUCUGUAUAAGUUGUGGAAUAUCUUUGGGAAGGCAUACAAGAAGACAAAAUCACAGGCCAUAAGCUUAGGGAAAGAAAUGAAGAGUGACAUUAUAUAGAAAAACAAAAAUAUCUCCGAGACAGAUUCCUGAUGGAUGCUCAUGUAUGCGUUGUUUGCACGAUGAGCUCACCUCAAAAGUAUUAAUAUCUAGUGAACAUAAGAGCUGUGUUAAGUGUGACGUUCCGUUGCAUUGUAUGUAGUUAGUAGCUAUUUAUGUUCAUAAAUGUUGUUAAACUACGAGCUUAAAUCACUUUAUAAUUUAUAUUAUCAUAUUAUUAAAUAGUUCAAUAAGUAAAUAGUUAAAUAAGCUAGUUAGGCACAUAACCCAUAUAUUUUAAUGUUAUUGUCAAGUUUAUUCUAUACCUACUUACUAAUAUGUUACCAUAUUAAGUUCCCUGACAUGAUUUAUGUAAUGACUAUGUACUAACAUCAGUAAGUAGUAACUGGGACCAGCAGCUUAACAUGCCAUUCGAAGCAUAGAUUAUCUUACUUCAGGCAAUCGGUUGAUCAGCCAGCCAUCUAACCAAACUGGACCACGGAGGCCGAGAGUACUUGGUUAAGUUGCUGUUUUAUUUCAACUAUUUAAUUAAAUGUAGAAAUAUUUUGUGUGGUUGCACCUACUUGUGAUAUUUUAAAUAU
rnacentral:lncRNA from 1 species